UGUUUUUUUUUUUUUUCCUGCGUAGGACUCAUGACUUUGAAAACAAACGUCCUUUACAGCCCCCACCCCCAGCCUUUGCCUGGAGUCUGUCUGGAGCAGGUUUGGAAGGGCUUCCCUUAUGUGUCUUUCAGCCAGAACACAGCACGGUGCAAACUGUCACUCGUCUUCCUACUUGUUCACCGUAAACGGUGGCCAAACACGCCACCCCAAGACGGCCACCCCACUUUGGCAUAAGAUGAUUUGAGCAAAAGGCACUUGAAAAACAGCAGCUACAAGAAGAACGUCUGUAUCUCCCCCUUUCUUCCUGAGAGCAGGACACAGACCAGGGUGAAGUCGCUGUCCCUGCACCAGGGGGAAGGAAGUGGUCUUGCCAAGGGGAUGGGAGCCCAGGCCGAGAGAAUUCUUGUUGAAAUAACUCCUAUCCAGGUAUUUUGGAUACUUUCCCACUGUCCCUUUCUGUUCACACUAGCAUGAAACCUCUCGUUUUUGCCAAUCCUGGGUCUUCAUUCUCCUUAUGAGGGUUCCCUCCCAUGUGAUGAAAAACUUAUGUAAAAUAAACUUGUGUGUGUUUCUCCUGCUAAGUCUCAGGCCCAGGCCAGAGACCCCAAGAGGGUUGAGAGAAUGGCAUUCCUCCCUCCACCAGACGGAGUGCCUCCAGUGCAGGACCCUGUCGUCCAUCUUGCUUCCCUCCCACUGACUCCUCAGUCCCAGAGCCCCUCGGGCAGGAAGUGGGGACUGUCUGCCGAGUAAAUGAUCUGUGUCCACAGCACCCACCCAUCUCCUUCCCGCCUCAGCCCAUUCAUGCUCAGACCAGCAUCAGCAUAAGGGAGGACAGUGGUUUGCUUACACGCAUCCUUUAGGAAGACACGUGCCCUUACAGGGCUUGAGCGGCUGACAAAACAAGGACUUCUCUGUGUAUACACUGGCACAUACUAAUGCUCCACGUUCCCAGUGGAGCUCCAGGAGCUAAAAAUAACCACGCGUGUUCUGUUUUAUACAGAAAAGAGGAAAUGUGCAGCUUAGUUUGUAACAUUUACUAUUUUUGAAAACCUGAUUUUUUUCCACAUGUAUUUUUAAAAUGUCUUUGGAGAUGUCCUUGCAGGAAAAUGCACAAUGCAGAUUUCACCAAAGGUCCCUGCAUUCUGUAAUCCACAUCUUCAGGAAACAAUUGCUGGAGACCGGAUACACUUGACGAGAUGGGUUUUCGGGAAGCCGCCCAGAUGCAGAUCACCAGGGGUCAUAGGAGGGCCAAAGGGCCCCGGGACCUCGGAAGCCAGGUCUCUGCCUAGUCUGCCCCCUGUGCAAGGAGGGGCACAUGAUCCCAUGACCACAGGCUGACAGUGGGAGCGCGGGCCUCUGUUAUCCUGAGAGAUGAGCGAGAGGUGACCGUCAUGCAGUGUCGCUCUGACCGCCACUGAGCGCAGUCUUUCGUGAAAAGACGGGAGGGAGGUGUGUGUGCUAUAGGUCUUCAUCUCGUACUGCGUAUUUGCUCCUUAAGUGAGUGUGGGGAGGGUCUCGGUUUCUAAGGCUCCCCUGUAAGAGACGGCAGGCUAUGAUGGUCAUGAGCUGGUGGUGUUCAGUGUUGUUCGCUGCCCUUCCUUCUCACAGGGACGCUGGGAGGUUGAAAAAUAUGUGAAGAACAAAUGAAGUAAAAAGAAAGAGACACAAGUUGCCUACAGCACAGGAAGUUGGGAACGUGGGAGCCGUGUUUAUGAAGAAUGUUCGACAACAGUGGAAUCUGUCCACAGCAUGCUGUUCAUGGAGGUCAACUGUCUUCUAUAAUACCCAUACGUAGUGAACCCAGUGCCUGAAAUGGAAAGACUGACAGUACUAAGUAUCAGCACGGGUGUGUAGCUGCCGAGAUUCUGCGGGCCUGCAAGUGGAUGUUUCAGGUCACAGGGCAAUGAGUCAGGAAGCAGAGCUAGGCUGAGUCAAGGCCACAGCCCAGGAACUGCGGUAAGAGACCUGGUGACUCUGUGGACUGGCCCUAGAGGAGCAGGG